CAGUAGCCGCGGUAAUUCAUAGGUGGCAAGCGUUGUCCGGAAUUAUUGGGUGUAAAGGGCUCGCAGGCGGUUUCUUAAGUCUGAUGUGAAAGCCCCCGGCUCAACCGGGGAGGGUCAUUGGAAACUGGGAAACUUGAGUGCAGAAGAGGAGAGUGGAAUUCCACGUGUAGCGGUGAAAUGCGUAGAGAUGUGGAGGAACACCAGUGGCGAAGGCGACUCUCUGGUCUGUAACUGACGCUGAGGAGCGAAAGCGUGGGGAGCGAACAGGAUUAGAGACCCCCGUAGUCCCUGUCUCUUAUAA
rnacentral:rRNA from 1 species